UUAUCAGUGAGGUACAUCCUUACCUGUUGCUUUUUUGCAGCAGAAAUGAUGAAUGGUGAAGUAUGAGCCUGUGAUUAACUAGCUCCCACCCUGGGGGUCCGACAACCCCUCAGGACCAUUCUGAC